rnacentral:rRNA from 1 species
GGUUCGAUUCUGGCUCGAAUUGAACGCUGGCUGGAUACUUUACCAUGCAAGUCGAACGGCAGCACGACUUCGGUCCGGUGGCGAGUGGCGAACGGGUGAGUAAUGUAUCGGAACGUGCCUAGUAGCGGGGAUAACUACGCGAAAGCGUAGCUAAUACCGCAUACGCCCUUCGGGGGAAAGCGGGGGACCUUCGGGCCUCGCACUAUUAGAGCGGCCGAUAUCGGAUUAGCUAGUUGGUGGGGUAACGGCUCACCAAGGCGACGAUCCGUAGCUGGUUUGAGAGGACGACCAGCCACACUGGGACUGAGACACGGCCCAGACUCCUACAGGAGGCAGCAGUGGGGAAUUUUUGGACAAUGGGGAAACCCUGAUCCAGCCAUCCCGCGUGUGCAGUAAGAGGCCUUCCGGGUUGUAAAGCACUUUUGGCAGGAAAGAAACGGCACCGGAUAAUACCCCGUGCAACUGACGGUACCUGCAGAAUAAGCACCGGCUAACUACGUGCCAGCAGCCGCGGUAAUACGUAGGGUGCAAGCGUUAAUCGGAAUUACUGGGCGUAAAGCGUGCGCAGGCGGUUCCGGAAAGAAAGAUGUGAAAUCCCAGAGCUUAACUUUGGAACUGCAUUUUUAACUACCGAGCUAGAGUGUGUCAGAGGAGGUGGAAUUCCGCGUGUAGCGGUAAAUGCGUAGAUAUGCGGAGGAACACCGAUGGCGAAGGCAGCCUCUGGGAUAACACUGACGCUCAUGCACGAAAGCGUGGGAGCAAACCGGAUUAGAUACCCUGGUAGUCCACGCCCUAAACGAUGUCAACUAGCUGUUGGGGCCUUCGGGCCUUGUUGGCGCAGCUAACGCGUGAAGUUAUUACGCCACAGAAGAUACGGUCGCAAGAUUAAACUCAAGGAAUUGGCGGGGACCCGCACAAGCAGUGGAUGAUGUGGAUUAAUUCGAUGCAACGCGAAAAACCUUACCUACCCUUGACAUGUCUGGAAUCCCGAAGAGAUUUGGGAGUGCUCGCAAAGAGAAGAACCGGAACACAGGUGCUGCAUGGCUGUCGUCAGCUCGUGUCGUGAGAUGUUGGGUUAAGUCCCGCAACAGAGAGCCGCAACCCUGUCAUUAGUUGCUACGAAAGGGCACUCUAAUGAGACUGCCGGUGACAAACCGGAGGAAGGUGGGGAUGACGUCAAGUCCUCGUAGCCCUUAUGGGUAGGGCUUCACACGUCAUACAAUGGUCGGGACAGAGGGUCGCCAACCCGCGAGGGGAGCCAAUCCCGAAACUGAUCGUAGUCCGGAUCGCAGUCUGCAACUCGACUGCGUGAAGUCGGAAUCGCUGAAAGUAAUCGCGGAUCAGCAUGUCGCGGUGAAUACGUUCCCGGGUCUUGUACACACCGCCCGUCACACCAUGGGAGUGGGUUUGCAGAAGUAGUUAGCCUAACCGUAAGGAGGCGAUUACCACAGUAGGAUUCAUGACUGGGGUGAAGUCGUAACAAGGUAGCCCUGUUACUACCUGA